AAUACCCUAUUAUUUUGAAAGUAGUCUAUAAAAUCUAAUUAGUAAUAGUUAAGUUCUUGAAAAUUAAAGAAUUUGGCGGUAUUUUAGUCUAUUCAGAGGAAUCUGUCCUAUAAUUGAUAAUCCACGAUUUUUAAUACCUAUUUUAUUAAUUUACAUAUCGCCGUAGUUUGAAUAUUUUUUGAAAAUUAUAAUAUUCAUAAUUUAUUUUAAUAAAAAAAAUCAGGUCAAGGUGUAGUUUAUAGGUAGGGAGAGAUGGGUUACAAUAAAUAUAUUUAUUAUGGAUUGAUUAAUUAAAUUUUUUUUAUGAAGGUGGAUUUGAUAGUAAUUUUAUUAA
rnacentral:rRNA from 1 species